GUCUCAUUAGCUCAGCGGUUAGAGCACUGGUCUUGUAAACCAGUGUUCGGAGUUUAAUUCUCUGAUGGGGCU